rnacentral:lncRNA from 1 species
CGACUUCACUUUCCCUUUUCACUUUCAUGCAUUGGAGAAAGAAAUGGCAACCCACUCCAGUGUUCUUGCCUGGAGAAUUCCAUGGACGAAGGAGCCCGGUAGGCUAAAGACCAUGGGGUCACAAAGAGUCAGACAUGACUGAAGCGUCUUAACACUUACGCAUGAUCAAAAAUGAAAAGGACUGUGUGCAGAUUAUGAAGGAAGCGCCCCCUGUACCUUACAGCUCAGCCACAAAGCGUUUUGCAACAGGAAAGAGCACACCUGUCCCUCAGGGGGGCGCGCCGCAAGCCCCUCUGGGAAAUGUAGUUCUAAAGCGAGUGGGACUCUGGGAAAUGUAGUUCUGCGUGGACACUGCCGAGGCCCAGCCGCGUCCGCCUCGGUUCUGUAGACCAGAGGGGUAAGGUUGUGGGGGGCUGGGGCUGGGGCGGGGACGGGGCUGUGGGCUGCUUGUGGCCUCUGCGUCCGACUGGGGCCGUGUGAUGACCCCGGCGCGGACCGGCCUGGGGCGACGCCGGCGUGUGUACGAACCAGCUCCGGAGCCGGGAACUGGGGGAGGCUCGGAAGGAUUUUCCUGCUGCGCAGGCUUCGAUUCCGGUGCAGGUGCGGGGCCCCUCUCAUCCAGCACCUGUGUGGCCUUGUUGGUGAGUGAUGGCUCCUUUUACUUGAAUGUUUUCUUAAGAAUUCUCAGUGACCCCAUUGACUCUGAAUCCUCCCACUUGUGUCUGAUGCACCUACAUGGGUGUGGUUGGCCUAUGGCCUUCCAAAGGGGGCUCCACCUCCUCAGGGCUCAGCUAAGAGUCAUCUCCAAGGAGUAUCCUCCAUGUACCCACUUGUCUGUCACAUUUGAAGUUUCUUCUGAGCUCUCUGACAGUCAGAAAUUUUUUUGA